CACUCAAGGCUUGUGUUACUGGAUCAUUAACACACACCACCUCAUAUCUAGGUGGUACAGGGCAGCAUACUGUUGAAUUACAAAGGCACAGCUGUGCGGUUUGCAGAUGUGUGCCCUUGCAGGGUAGAGAUAUCACAAAUACAGUGCAGGCUGCCAUCCUGAGUCAUCAGCUGUGCUUUGUGGAGCCAAGCUAGGAAGAAUGGGGAAGGAGAGAUGAGCUGGUGGUGGCUGAAAGCUGACAUUAGACCUCAGGAACCUGAACACCUACAUCCUAUCGUAGCACUUCAGGAUGGUGACGCUAGCUACCAUAAUCCUAUCCCAGGAUCCAGGGGACUGGUUCAUCGCAUUUGACCUUCAAGACACCUACUUUCAUGUGACUAUUUAUCCCUCCCACAAAUGCAUUCUGCAUUUUGUCAUAGACUCGGAUCAUUACCAAUAAUGUAUCCUUCCCUUUGGGCUCUCCAUGGCCCUGAGGAUCUUAAGGAAGGUCCACUCA